rnacentral:rRNA from 1 species
CGUCGACCGGCGCACGGGUGAGUAACGCGUAUCCAACCUUCCCAUUACUGUGGGAUAACCUGCCGAAAGGCAGACUAAUACCGCAUAGUCUUCGAUGACGGCAUCAGAUUUGAAGUAAAGAUUUAUCGGUAAUGGAUGGGGAUGCGUCUGAUUAGCUUGUUGGCGGGGUAACGGCCCACCAAGGCAACGAUCAGUAGGGGUUCUGAGAGGAAGGUCCCCCACAUUGGAACUGAGACACGGUCCAA